GUUGCACUUUACAAGUCCAAGAAGGCAGGUGGAGACUCCCAGGGCACUAUAAACAUAGCCUCGCAAAUGAUCAUGGGAGAAUGGAAAGGUACAUGACACACGACGCUGGAGGAUGAUCAAGGACACUGCAAGACUGGAAUAGCUCUGGCUGCUUUAGGAAGUUGUCAUUUUCAAGAGGAGUCUCCUUUGGCUUUAACAGUGGGAAGUUCCGACAAGGUGUUCGAGGAUGGUGCCUAGCUCAAAGAAGAUUCUGCACCUUCCACCUGGGACGCCAUAAAAACAGGAAGGUGGUGUUCAUUCUGGACCAGGACUUCAACGGAAACAGAGCUUCUGCUAAACUGAGAUCAAUUUAAACCAUUCUUUUGGCAUCCUCAAUCUGUUCUGCAAGUCACACCUUGUAACAUCCUUCAUUAGCGAAAGAAAAAGAAUUUCACUUGAGGACACCUUGAAUUCACUUGGGGUAAAUUUUCCAAGUAAGAAAAUUGGUAAACUCUUGGACACAGACAAACCACAGAAAAAAGCAGUGAACCAUCUGCUGGUCUGAGAGUCUCUUCAUCGCUAGGCACAUUCUCC